UACUCGGUCAUUUUAAUAAGCUUUGGCCAGACGAUUUUUAUGGCAAAAAUAAGAAAAUAUGUCCAAUCGUUUAUGUCAAGGCGUCUGAAUUUCUAAAUUAUUGAUAAAUUUUAGAAAAAUUUGUAGUUUCUUUAAGAUUUUAUUAAUUAAUAAGAUAAAAACUUCACAAAUAAUACUCAUUGAGGCUUUAGUUCAUUGGCAAACUUCUAGAUUGGCAAUUUAGGAAUUGUAGUUUAAGGCUAAAUAAUUCUGGUGGUUUUUUUUUAUUAUAUCAAUGUAAACAAAAAUAAUGUACUAAUUUACUCUUUUUUUCUUAUUUAAUAAUUUAGUACGAUAUUACUAUCCAAUCUCUUAUAUUUAUUAGGGUGUCUCAAAAGUUUCUUUUCUCAUCACGCUAUGAAUAGCUUUAUCUGACUUUUGUUGUGCAAACAUGCAGGCUUAUCUAUUAGCCGUCUAUGUCAUCGGUUUCAAUCGUCCCAGAACUCUUUAAAGUACAUUUUGUUUGUGCCACAACUUUUAAAACUUUUAUCCACAGCAUUAAGCAUGGGUAGAAAAAGGUGACAUUUACGGCAUGUUAUACUUCAUUGUUUCAAAAAAAGUGAUAGUGUAAAGAAUACUGUCGACGAGAUUUGUACCGUGUAUGUAUGGUGCUAUAACUAUUACAACUGUUCGCAAUUGGUUUAAAAAAUUUAAUGUGUGAAAUUUUAAUCUGGAAGAUGAAGACCGCAGCGGCCGCCCAAAAACGAUGGCUUAUCAAGGCUAUGCUUGAUGAAAAUCCGCGAUAUAGUGUGCGCUCGAUAGUGAAUGCCACUAGGAUUCCCAAAAUAACAGUGCACAAAAUGGAAUAUGUUAAUCGCUGUGAAGUUAGGGUUCCGCACUUACUGACCGAGACCAGCUUUAUGAAUCUCUACGUGCGACUUAUUUCUCCAGUGACAUGAAAAGGAUCCCUUUCUAAAGAGGCUUGUCACUGGAGACGAAACUUGAAUUUGAUAUGAAAAUGGAAACACACUUGGUGUAAGGACAAUAGGCCUUCAACUAUCGCAAAGUCGGGACUACAUUCCAAAAAAGUUCUUUUAUCCAUUUGGUGAGGGUUGGAAAAACGUAAUUUUCUACAAGCUCCUUCCUCAAGGUGAAAUAAUAAAUUUUAUGAAAUACUAUCAUCAACUGGAUCAAUUGAAAGCUGCCAUAGCAAAAAAAUGGCCAGAAUUAAUGAACCGACGAGGGUUUUUCAUUAUGACAAUGCGAAAUCACAUAUUGCAUUAGCGUAAAAUAAGAACGCACCUCCAGAAUUAUUUCUUGUUCAAAACACAACAAUUUUGGAAAGAAGACAUAAUGAGGCUUCCUGAGAGAUGGAAGAAA